rnacentral:lncRNA from 1 species
UGAAAUAGUAGAAAACUAGUUGAAUUGCCUCCUUCAUAUGGAAAAACAAGGGGAUGACUAAAGAACAGCUCUCCACAUCAAUUACCAUUGCCCAGCACUUAUGAAAGACUCCCAACGGGGCAUUUAAUGUGCGUGAAAGGGUAAAAUCGAAGCUAUGCAUAUGGAGAAAAGUCCAUGAAGAACAAAAAUGUUUAGUAAUCUGUCAUAGUUAUGGAACCACAACUGGAA